rnacentral:lncRNA from 9 species
CAGCGGUUCGCGCCGCGGCGCCCCGAUUGGCCGGCGGAACGCGCCGCGUCACAAUGGAGCCGGUCGGAGGCGGCGAGCCGGGCAGCGCCGGGGCUUCCCGCUGAGCCCGCAGCCCAGGCGGCGAGGAAGUGCGGCGCGGGGCCGCCGCCGGCCCGCCCGGAGCGGCGCGGGGCGAGCGCGGGGAGCGCCCGGGCCGGAGCGCGCAGGGUUCCUUGUAACUCUGCCUUGUCGGUCCUGUCCUGCAGUGUGUUUCUGCAGCGCUCAGUCCCCGGUCUGCAGCUUCUUCCAGAGACAUUACCAGCUGUUCAGUUUCUCUUCUCCUCUUUCCAGCUCCAUGCAGGUGGAGUCCUUGCUGCUGCUGCUGCUGCUGCUGCUUGUGUCCUGGAACAUUCAGGUGCUUCUUGCCCACUCCGAUUGUUGACCUUUGCGAGAGGCGCCUUCGGGUGGUGA